AGAGUUUGAUCAUGGCUCAGGAUUAACGCUGGCGGCGUGCCUAAUACAUGCAAGUCGAGCGCCCAGGACUCUGUUUAUCAGUUUAUGAUAGAUAUAGUCCUGGGAGCGGCAGACGGGUGAGUAACACGUUGGUAUCCACCUUGAAAUCAGGGAUAACUAUUAGAAAUAAUAGCUAAUACCGGAUGGUCUCGAAAGAGUAAAGCAGCAAUGCGUUUCAAGAGGUGCCUGCGGCCUAUCAGCUAGUUGGUGAGGUAAUGGCUCACCAAGGCUAUGACGGGUAGCUGGUCUGAGAGGAUGAUCAGCCACAAUGGGACUGAGACACGGCCCAUACUCCUACGGGAGGCAGCAGUAAGGAAUUUUUCACAAUGGGGGAAACCCUGAUGAAGCAACGCCGCGUGAAGGAUGAAGGCCUUUUGGUUGUAAACUUCUUUUCUGAGGGAAUAAAUAUGAAUGUACCUCAGGAAUAAGCAACGGCUAACUACGUGCCAGCAGCCGCGGUAAGACGUAGGUUGCAAGCGUUAUCCGGAAUUACUGGGCGUAAAGAGUU
rnacentral:rRNA from 1 species